rnacentral:rRNA from 1 species
UACGUAGGGUGCAAGCGUUGUCCGGAAUUACUGGGCGUAAAGCGCGCGCAGGCGGCUCUUUAAGUCUCGUGGUCAAAUGCCGGGGCUCAACCCCGAGCGUGCCGGGGAUACUGGAGGGCUGGAGACAGGUAGAGGCAAGCGGAAUUCCGGGUGUAGCGGUGGAAUGCGUAGAGAUCCGGAAGAACACCGGAGGCGAAGGCGGCUUGCUGGACCUGGUCUGACGCUGAGGCGCGAAAGCGUGGGGAGCGAACAGG